rnacentral:rRNA from 1 species
UACGAAGGGUGCAAGCGUUACUCGGAAUUACUGGGCGUAAAGCGUGCGUAGGUGGUUUGUUAAGUCUGAUGUGAAAGCCCUGGGCUCAACCUGGGAAUUGCAUUGGAUACUGGCAGGCUAGAGUGCGGUAGAGGAUGGCGGAAUUCCCGGUGUAGCAGUGAAAUGCGUAGAGAUCGGGAGGAACAUCUGUGGCGAAGGCGGCCAUCUGGGCCAGCACUGACACUGAGGCACGAAAGCGUGGGGAGCAAACAGG